rnacentral:rRNA from 1 species
AGAAUCAACGCUGGCGGCGUGCCUAACACAUGCAAGUCGCACGAGAAAGGGACUUCGGUCCUGAGUACAGUGGCGCACGGGUGAGUAACACGUGAAUAAUCUACCUCCGAGUGGGGAAUAACUGAGAGAAAUCUUAGCUAAUACCGCAUAACACUUACGAGUCAAAGCAGCAAUGCGCUUGGAGAGGAGUUCGCGGCAGAUUAGUUAGUUGGCGGGGUAAUGGCCCACCAAGACGAUGAUCUGUAUCCGGCCUGAGAGGGCGCACGGACACACUGGAACUGAAACACGGUCCAGACUCCUACGGGAGGCAGCAGUGGGGAAUUUUGCGCAAUGGGGGAAACCCUGACGCAGCAACGCCGCGUGGAGGAUGAAAUCCCUUGGGAUGUAAACUCCUUUCGAUAGGGAAGAUAAUGACGGUACCUAUAGAAGAAGCCCCGGCUAACUUCGCGCCAGCAGCCGC